rnacentral:tRNA from 1 species
AGAUCAUCGUCCCCGGUGGGGCGGCUGGACUUCAAAUCCAGAUGGGGCCGCCAGCGGUCCUUGGCAGGUUCGACUCCUGUGAUCUUC